AUGGACUCGGGAAAAGUGGACAGCUCUACUUCAUUAACGUCCAUUUUCAGGUUACCGGACAGGAAUGUCUUUAACAAUUCUUCAGAUUUCUGCAAUGUGCCGCAAAGGCAUACAGCCUGCCGGAAAUUAAAGGAAGAAGGAGAAGAGAAGGACACACUAUCCGCGAUGUUUGAGCCUGCCUUGCCGGUGAGAUCCCUCCAUUUUUCUACUGUUUUUGUGCAAUGCAUUGCUGGUGGUCUAUUUUUUUGUGUGUUUUUGGUGGAAUACUUUUUGGUGUUUUUGGACUUUUUGGGUUGUGUGUGUGUGUGUGUGUGUGUGUGUGUUGUGUGUGUGUGUGUGUGUGUGUGUGUGUGUGUGUGUGUGUGUGUGUGUGUGUGUGUGUGUGUGUGUGUGUGUGUGUCAUGGUCCACCCCUGGUUUUCCCAUUCACCUGCCUGCCACCCUAAUUAACCCAACCACCUCCACUCCCUCUAUAUAAAUCCACUCUCUGCACUCAGUCUCUGCAUGAUCGUCUCUUGAUACUCAGAGCUUUCCCGCGACUCCAGAAACGUUUCUCCAUCGCUGCCUGUUACCGAACCCUCGCUGUCUGACCACCCGCCUGUUGUCGAGUCCCCGCCGGCCUGUCUGCUCCCUGGUUUCCGGCUCCUCGCCUGCCUGCCUGUCUGCCCUCCGACCGUACCCCCCAGCCUCCCUGAUUGCCUGCCGGUUCCCGAACUCUUGCCUGUCCCCGUUCACUCUGCCUGCCCGACCCUGAUCAUCUGUGCGACCAAUAAAACAUUUGGGGCCCUAUUUUAGCAGUCUGAAACGCAAGUGGGAAGCGCCAAGCGCAAGUAGCUUUGUGGGCGGUUCUAUGGCGAUGUCGCUAGUUUACCGGCGCGAAAAAUGACUUCAAAUCUACAAAGAGUUUGUCUGAAGUAGCCUGAUUACCCGUAGUUGUUGUUUGGGCGUAACGUGCAAUAAACCAAUGAGAGUGCCAGCUCCCAUCCCCUUUAAGAGCCAUGAGCGCAUUUGAAUCUGACGAGUUGAUAUUUUGACAGUGCAUCUGCAGUCUCCGAUGAGACAGAUGCACAUGAAUUUCAAACUUCAAAUGGAUGUUUAUGGCCAAAUAAUAUAGCCUAAUUCACACAUGGAAUAAGGAUUUCUUCCAAAACUUCCAAUACUGAGUCCUAUUUAAUGUGGUUCUAUUUUAUGAUAUACACAAUACAUUAUAAACAUUGUUUCUUAUCAGUAUUGUAUGCAUUAUCGUUAUCGACAUGUGUUCCUAAUAUGCAUGUGUCCCCCCAUUAAUAUAAUACUUGCCAUGGACUGUAUUAUGCGUUACGUGUUCAGUUUGCGUGUGUUUAAACAGAUGGACGCACAGCGGUGGGAGAUGUGUAACACACACAACACACACGCACCCGCAUUCAUUCAUUCUUUUAACACUCAGUCGCGGUAAAACAAUGUUUUCUUACGAUCAAAUACUCAUCAAUCCUAAAAUGUAUGGGCCUGUACACAAUGUCUGUCAAGGAAAUGUGUUUGCUGUACGGUGUUGGCAGAUGCAUUGAUUUGAAGGUACAACUUAUUACCGCUGUAUCAGCUGUUCUUUCCCAAAUAAUUUCCCAAGAAUGUGUGGCUAGGUAGAUGAGGGAAGCAAAGUGUAUGCGCGAGGUGCACAAGCAACAUUAUGCAUGCGCCCUUAAAAUAGCAUCUGAACGCGCCACUGACUUUAAACCAGGUAUUUCCUGGUUUGUGGCGCAAGUGGUUUCUGAAACUGCAAAAUAGCACCAGGAACGUUUGCGCCAGAACACGCCUCCUCCUUUCGCCGAGCCACACCUUGGGGCGCAAGAUCAUUCCCUAAUUUACCGACGUGUGGCGCAGGAGGGAAAAGAACGCUCUGCCCCAGUUGCAAACUAGCAACGACACAUGCUCCAGUGAUUAAGUCAAUUGCGCCGGAUGCAAGAUAGGGCCCUUGGACUGCCCUGUCACCAUUGUCAGUCUGUGCACUUGGGUUCUGCCUAACCCCCCCGUUACAGUGAAAGUGAGUGUGUGAUGUUGUGUAAGUAUGUGUCAAAGGAGAAACCCCCUUUGGCACGCCACCAGGAUAUCCUACACGUGCACAUCUACACACCUACCCACACACUGGGAUAUGUGGAUUUUAUUUUUAUCUGUGGGAUCAAUGCAGUAAAUAACUUCACUCUUCAGACUGACAGCCCAUAGAGGACAUUUCAUACCAGCAUGGCUUGGAAAACAGCUCAAUAGUCUGAAAUACAAUAUAUAUAUUUAAGCAUUAAUCUUUUAAUUAUUAAAUUAAGGUAUUUAAACAACAUUUGCGUCUUUAUUUGCUGUUUGUAUUAAUAUGACAUAACGAUAUUUGCUGUUCAACGCCUUUUCUGAUUUCUUCAGCUGGCCUGCACAUAUUUCCUGUUCUAUUGUGUGCUUCGUUCGCUCUCAGCCUCGCUCCUCCUUUUUUGCCCUUUAAGUCUCUCGAAAUGAGAAAUAUACAUUUAAUUCCAUGUGACACUUUGCAUGUGUGUGUGUGUGUGUGUGUGUGUGUGUGUGUGUGUGUGUGUGUGUGUGUGUGUGUGUGUGUAGAUAGGUGUGUAUGUGUAUUUGUGUGUUAUGCACAACAAUACCCAUUUGUGUGCCGUUGGAGUCUUUAUUGCUUGAAGGUCAGGAAGGAAAUCAUGGUGCAUACUUCUACAUUUCCUGCUGUCUUGAUGACAAAAGCUCUCUGGUAGUGGGUAGAUAUUUCCCCACCUGUGGCACUACCACGCAGUGGAUGUAGUGGGGGUGAAAUCCCAUUCCUUUAGAGGUAAGCUUAGCUGCAGUUAUUCGCCAGGUCAGAACGGUAUGUACUGCGGCGCACCAGGGCCAAAUUUAUCUAGGCUUCAGAAUUUCAUUAUUCGACUAGAAAUAACCGUUCAUAAUGGUAUUCAUUUGACACUCCACUGGUGCGUGUCCUGGUGAACCUCCCAUUAGAGGGCCCUAAUUAAUCAUAGUUUGUGUGUCUGUGUGUGUUACUGUGAGUAUGAAGCUUAAUGUAAUGGAGUUCCCGCAAAGAGAGUCAACUUUUACCCUGUGCAUUUGCGUGUGUGUGAAUGCGUGUGAGUAAAUGUGUAUGUAAGGGAGAGGGCUAUUUGAUUGGGGUAUGGAUUUAAAAAUAAAUUUGCUCCACCUCAAAUUCGCAAAGGCCAACCAAUAGGUUGGCUAAGAACACAUCAUCAUAAUUUCUGAAUAAAUCCUGGGACGAUGCUCAAAGGCACGAAAAGUAGGCAGGGGCUCCAUAGUAAUGGCCACCCUAUAGUUGGUCCACUGGCAGCCAUGCUGUAGACUCUCAUUCCACCUCCUUGGCAACCCCUCUUAGCCACAUUACUCCUUAUUAGGAAACCUUAGUUUUGCCACCUCUUCCCACUACACAUGGCUGGUUACACCAAAAGUAGUUUUUAUUAAAUAAGACACGUCAAAUUAAGGAUUAUUGUGGAUUGAAACAAUAUUCUUUGAGAACUAACAUUUGAAAACUAUUUGAUAAUUUUUUUUCUCCUAGUCUUUUAUUUUAUGAUUUAGUCAUAUUAUUGUUGCUAAUCUUGUUGCUACCGUGUGCUUUCCUUUUUUGCGUAAUAAUCAUAGUUCUCCCUAAUCUAUGCCGUUUUCACACGUCCUACUUCUUUUCUCCACAUUUGUCAGGGGUUUCGACCGUGAGGGUCAUUCACACUUGAUGCCCGAUAUGCGUACAUCGAUGUCACUCAGAAACUAUUAAGGACCCGUCCACACGGAGCCGAAACGGGCAAACAAUCCGGUUUCGUAUUAUGCGGUUCAGGAAUAUCUCCGUAAAGACAGUCAUUGCGAAACCGCAUCGAGCUGCAGAAACGCUGUAGUAAAUAAUCUACAUCUGGUUCUCCACAGAAAAAGUGGAGCGCAUCAAGCCUGCGCGCAUACAGCCUGUGCGCUGUAUGCGCGUGACUGAAUAUGACUGAAUAUCCUCGCGACUGACUAUACAAACAUUCAGUCACAAGGAAAUUGAGCAGAAAUACUUUUUAAUGUAAAGUCAGAAAUUCAAUUUAUCAAGGGGCUUUAUUUAAAGCUACAAGAAGAAUACAAAUAA
rnacentral:lncRNA from 1 species